GACGAACGCUGGCGGCGUGCUUAACACAUGCAAGUCGAACGGAAAGGCCCUGCUUUUGUGGGGUGCUCGAGUGGCGAACGGGUGAGUAACACGUGAGUAACCUGCCCUUGACUUUGGGAUAACUUCAGGAAACUGGGGCUAAUACCGGAUAGGAGCUCCUGCUGCAUGGUGGGGGUUGGAAAGUUUCGGCCGUUGGGGAUGGACUCGCGGCUUAUCAGCUUGUUGGUUGGGUAGUGGCUUACCAAGGCUUUGACGGGUAGCCGGCCUGAGAGGGUGACCGGCCACAAUGGGACUGAGAUACGGCCCAGACUCCUACGGGAGGCAGCAGUGGGGAAUAUUGCACAAUGGGCGGAAGCCUGAUGCAGCAACGCCGCGUGCGGGAUGACGGCCUUCGGGUUGUAAACCGCUUUCGCCUGUGACGAAGCGUGAGUGACGGUAAUGGGUAAAGAAGCACCGGCUAACUACGUG
rnacentral:rRNA from 1 species